rnacentral:lncRNA from 1 species
UAUGAAUUCCUUUCUGCUUCUUUGGCCAGAGUAGUUACCUGCUGGCUAGGGAUUACAACAGUGUCGUCAAUCAUGGCACUGUCCCUCAGGUAGGAGGCAUGGCUCAGUGUGUGAGACCUGUCUGAACUGAAGGAUCGCAGGCUGUCAGAUCGCCCUCCUUCCAAGCUGUACCUCAGGUAGUUCAUACCAUCUAAGAACUGGCUGCUUGGUAAAGAGUCAUCUCCUAGUUCUUUGAGGUCUUCUGGCCUAAGGUACUCUCCUCCAUCUCCUGUCAUUGUAUCAUCACUCCACGAAUUUCUGCUAAUGACACCUGUGCCAUUAUAUACUUCCC